rnacentral:lncRNA from 1 species
NNNCUGUGGGUAUGGAACAGCCGGUUCCCAGUUCCUCCCAGUUCAUUCCCAGUCUAUUCCCAGUCACUCCCUGUCUAUCGCAGUCCAUUCCCAGUUCCCUCCCAGUCCAUUCCAGUUCCCAGAACCCGGCUGCGGUUCCAUGUGAGGACACCGGGAGGUGCUGUUGGUCCUCCCAGCUGCUAGGGGGCGCCAGUAAGGGUGGACAGGCUCGGUCCUCCUGGCCACUAGGGGGUGCUGUGGGUACAGAGCAGUCGGUUCCCAGUCCCUCCCAGUCCAUUUCAGUCCAUUCCCAAUCCCCUCCCAGUCCCUCCCAGUCCACAGAACCCAGCUGUGGUUCCAUGUGGGGACACCGGGAGGCGCCGUUGGUCCUCUUGGCCUCUAGGGGGCGCUGUGGGUAUGGAACAGCCGGUUCCCAGUCCAUCCCAGUCACUCCCUGUCUAUCGCAGUCCAUUCCCAGUUCCCUCCCAGUCCAUCCCAGUCGCUUCCAGUUCCUCCCCGUCCAUUCCAGUCCCCAGAACCCGGCUGCGGUUCUGUAUGAGGACACCGGGAGGUGCUGUUGGUCCUCCCAGCCGCUAGGGGGCGCCAGUAAGGGUGGACAGGCUCGGUCCUCCUGGCCACUAGGGAGCACUGUGGGUACAGAGCAGUCGGUUCCCAGUCCCUCCCAGUGGCUUCCAGUCCAUUCCCAAUCCCCUCCCAGUCCCUCCCAGUCCUCAGAACCCAGCUGUGGUUCCAUGUGGGGACACCGGGAGGUACCGUUGGUCCUCCUGGCCGCUAGGGGGCAUCAGUACAACUGGAUGGGCUCAGUCCUCCUGGCCACUAGGGGGCGCUGUGGGUAUGGAACAGCCGGUUCCCAGUCCCUCCCAGUGACUCCCAGUCUCCAGAACCCAGCUGCAGUUCCAUGUGGGCACACUGGGAGGCGCGGCUGAGGGAGGAGGUUGGGUCUUCCAGGCCUCUAGGGGGUGCUGUGGGUAUGGAAUAGCCGGUUCCCAGUCCCUCUCAGUGGCUCCCAGUCCAUCCCAGUCCAUUCCCAAUCCCCUCCCAGUCCUCAGAACCCGGCUGCAGU